CUUGACUGCUAUCGGAUUGGUGUCAAGCCAUGUGAGUCGUUGUAGCAAUACAUGGCAUACGGCUCAGUAACACGUAGUCAAUCUAACCUAUGGACGGGGAUAACCUCGGGAAACUGAGGAUAAACCCCGAUAGAUCAUUAUGCCUGGAACGGUUUAUGGUCCAAAUGAUUCGUCGCCGUAGGGUGGGACUGCGGCCUAUCAGCUUGUUGGUGAGGUAAUGGCCCACGAAGGCUAUCGUAGGUACGGGCUCUGAGUGGAGAAGCCCGGAGAUGGGUACUGAGACACGGACCCAGGCCCUAUGGGGCGCAGCAGGCGCGAAACCUUUGCAAUGUGCGCAAGCACGACAAGGUUAAUCCGAGUGUUUCCUGCUAAAGGAAUCUUUUGUUAGUUGUAAAACCACUGAUGAAUAAGGGGUGGGCAAGUUCUGGUGUCAGCCGCCGCGGUAAAACCAGCACCUCAAGUGGUCAGGAUGAUUAUUGGGCCCAAGGCAUCCGUAGCCUGUUCUAUAGCUCUCCGGUUAAAUCCAUUAGCUCAACUAAUGGGCUGCCGAAAAUACUGUAGAACUAGGGAGUGGGAGAGGUAGACGGUACUCGGUAGGAAGGGGUACCAUCCUUUGAUCUAUUGAUGACCACCUGUGGCGAAGGCGGUCUACCAGAACACGUUCGACGGUGAGGGAUGAAAGCUGGGGGAGCAAACCGGAUUAGAUACCCGGGUAGUCCCAGCUGUAAACGAUGCAGUCUCGGUGAUGCCCUGGCUUGUGGCCAGUGCAGUGCCGCAGGGAAGCCGUUAAGUUUGCCGCCUGGGAAGUACGUACGCAAGUAUGAAACUUAAAGGAAUUGGCGGGGGAGCACCAACGGA
rnacentral:rRNA from 1 species